rnacentral:lncRNA from 1 species
AUGGCCUGGUUUUCUAGAGGGAGUAAACAUCAUUUGUUUCUGCUGAAGUCAAUUUUCAUUAGCAUGAGGAAAUUAAAGGGCCUGGUUUUACAGUCCUAUGAUUUGCUUUCCCAGCUGGAGACAUCUGAAAGAGACCCAAUUUUCAAUAAAUGCAAGGCAGUCAUGCAGAAGAGAGGCAGUGGACUAAGAAGACUAUACCCCCCUUGGCAUUACUGCAUGCUCAUGCUGUUUGAUGGAGAGAGCCCUCUGCGCUGCACUGCAGUGGAUAUACUAGUAUUUUUCGUUCAAGUUUUCUCUCCCCAUCUGGCUCCACACCUGAUGGUGCCUCGGGGCCAGAAGCAACAUGGUUUCGUUACUAUGUUGCUUGGAUGA